rnacentral:tRNA from 1 species
GGGGAUGUGGCUCAAGCGGUAGUGCGCGCGCCUCCCAUGUGCGGGACGCUGGGUUUGAUCCUCAGCGCCACA